rnacentral:rRNA from 1 species
UACGUAGGGGGCUAGCGUUGUCCGGAUUUAUUGGGCGUAAAGAGCUCGUAGGCGGUUUGUCGCGUCGGCCGUGAAAUCUCCACGCUUAACGUGGAGCGUGCGGUCGAUACGGGCAGACUUGAGUUCGGUAGGGGAGACUGGAAUUCCUGGUGUAGCGGUGAAAUGCGCAGAUAUCAGGAGGAACACCGGUGGCGAAGGCGGGUCUCUGGGCCGAUACUGACGCUGAGGCACGAAGGUCAGGGGAGCAAACGGG